GCUGCUCUUGCUCUUCUCAAUGCUUAGAUUGAAUAGGUUGAUGUAGGCGUCCAGUGAGAACUGGUACAUGGGAUCAAUGCGGCCCAUGUCAUUGAGGAUGAAGAAGAGGAUGGACGCCCGCUGAGCGCAUGCACGCUGCUCCGAAACCUCAGUGGCCGUCACUUUGGACGUCUGCAAGGUGUUCACCAACUGCACGUCGUCCAGCAGGGAGCCGCUUGCCUCGUUCAGCAGCCUGGGAGACGGAAGGACCGACGCGGGAACGUGCGACCGACGCCAUUCGUUUCAAACAAAAGCUUUUGGAAGUGAGGGGGUCUGGACGUUCCUUACGCACCACAAUACCUAGGAGUUGGGCUUCCAGACCCUGCCAGCAGCACACACGCGACCAAACUAGCAUGACACUCCGUAGGGCGCUGUUGCUGGCAUGGAGUCGAGUCAUGAUGGUCUUCCAACUGGAGCUAACUUCUUCAAAUUCUUCACACUCUCGUGGUAGCUGCUCCCUGAUGUCCUUUCCUUGGAAAAUAUUCUGGAAGAACAGGAAAAAUAUGUAAAAAUGCUGAGGUGAGAAAAAAAUAAAAUAAAACAACAACAGU